UCUGCAAUUCAAAAAUUGAAGCCGUGAUUGCAGACUCAGAAUAUUCCCAUGAAAUGAGAAGACUCGUAUGUUUUCUAUUUCUUAAACAGGGAACUUAAACAUUAAGGUAAACCUAUUCCAAAUACAUUUUCAAACUAUUCAAAUGAUGAAAGUUAUUGUUGUUUUUUAAGCGUUUAUUGGCGAGUGGGAAACUUCAACAUGGCCGCCAUCUAUUCAAAUUGGGGUGAUCGCUGGAAUAUUCUUGGCUUCAAUUUUACUAAAAGAGAUGCGCUAUCUAUAGUGUACAGUAUAUAAGAUAUAUAUGGGCAUAUAGAACUGAAACGAUCACAGUGAGGUUUGUGCUCAAUGUAUAUAACAUAUACAUUUAAUUAAGUCUUUGUUGGCAAAAACAAUAUCAGGCAGGCAUGACGCCAGUUA